rnacentral:misc_RNA from 1 species
AAAAAAUUAUUCUUUUCUUAGUCUUAAAAAAAAGAUAGAAAAGCUAAGCUGCUAGAAAUUAUUAUCUCCUGUUUCUAGUGAUGUCAAGCAGCAAAGGGAAAGAUGUAGCAGAAGGAUCAUCAAGAUCAGGUGGUGGUGUUGGUGGUAAUGCUACUGAUCAGCAGAACCCACCUCCGUUGAGCCGGUACGAAUCACAGAAACGCCGAGAUUGGAACACUUUCGGGCAGUACCUGAGGAACCAGCGGCCACCGGUUGCGCUAUCUCAAUGCAACGCCAACCAUGUUCUUGAUUUUCUUCGGUACCUGGAUCAAUUUGGCAAGACUAAGGUGCACUUACAAGGAUGUGUGUUUUUUGGACAGCCAGAGCCACCAGGUCCUUGUACUUG